rnacentral:rRNA from 1 species
GAUGAACGCUGGCGGCGUGCCUAAUACAUGCAAGUCGAGCGAACAGACGAGGGGCUUGCUCCUCUGACGUUAGCGGCGGACGGGUGAGUAACACGUGGAUAACCUACCUAUAAGACUGGGAUAACUUCGGGAAACCGGAGCUAAUACCGGAUAAUAUAUUGAACCGCAUGGUCCAAUAGUGAAAGACGGUUUUGCUGUCACUUAUAGAUGGAUCCGCGCCGCAUUAGCUAGUUGGUAAGGUAACGGCUUACCAAGGCGACGAUGCGUAGCCGACCUGAGAGGGUGAUCGGCCACACUGGAACUGAGACACGGUCCAGACUCCUACGGGAGGCAGCAGUAGGGAAUCUUCCGCAAUGGGCGAAAGCCUGACGGAGCAACGCCGCGUGAGUGAUGAAGGUCUUCGGAUCGUAAAACUCUGUUAUUAGGGAAGAACAAAUGUGUAAGUAACUAUGCACGUCUUGACGGUACCUAAUCAGAAAGCCACGGCUAACUACGUG